AUUGAACGCUGGCGGCAGGCUUAACACAUGCAAGUCGAGCGGAGAUGAGGUGCUUGCACCUUAUCUUAGCGGCGGACGGGUGAGUAAUGCUUAGGAAUCUGCCUAUUAGUGGGGGACAACAUUCCGAAAGGAAUGCUAAUACCGCAUACGCCCUACGGGGGAAAGCAGGGGAUCUUCGGACCUUGCGCUAAUAGAUGAGCCUAAGUCGGAUUAGCUAGUUGGUGGGGUAAAGGCCUACCAAGGCGACGAUCUGUAGCGGGUCUGAGAGGAUGAUCCGCCACACUGGGACUGAGACACGGCCCAGACUCCUACGGGAGGCAGCAGUGGGGAAUAUUGGACAAUGGGCGGAAGCCUGAUCCAGCCAUGCCGCGUGUGUGAAGAAGGCCUUUUGGUUGUAAAGCACUUUAAGCGAGGAGGAGGCUACCUGGAUUAAUACUCUAGGAUAGUGGACGUUACUCGCAGAAUAAGCACCGGCUAACUCUGUGCCAGCAGCCGCGGUAAAAC
rnacentral:rRNA from 1 species